rnacentral:rRNA from 1 species
GCGCGUGCCUAAUACAUGCAAGUCGAGCGGACAGAAGGGAGCUUGCUCCCGGAUGUUAGCGGCGGACGGGUGAGUAACACGUGGGUAACCUGCCUGUAAGACUGGGAUAACUCCGGGAAACCGGAGCUAAUACCGGAUAGUUCCUUGAACCGCAUGGUUCAAGGAUGAAAGACGGUUUCGGCUGUCACUUACAGAUGGACCCGCGGCGCAUUAGCUAGUUGGUGAGGUAACGGCUCACCAAGGCGACGAUGCGUAGCCGACCUGAGAGGGUGAUCGGCCACACUGGGACUGAGACACGGCCCAGACUCCUACGGGAGGCAGCAGUAGGGAAUCUUCCGCAAUGGACGAAAGUCUGACGGAGCAACGCCGCGUGAGUGAUGAAGGUUUUCGGAUCGUAAAGCUCUGUUGUUAGGGAAGAACAAGUGCAAGAGUAACUGCUUGCACCUUGACGGUACCUAACCAGAAAGCCACGGCUAACUACGUGCCAGCAGCCGCGGUAAUACGUAGGUGGCAAGCGUUGUCCGGAAUUAUUGGGCGUAAAGGGCUCGCAGGCGGUUUCUUAAGUCUGAUGUGAAAGCCCCCGGCUCAACCGGGGAGGGUCAUUGGAAACUGGGAAACUUGAGUGCAGAAGAGGAGAGUGGAAUUCCACGUGUAGCGGUGAAAUGCGUAGAGAUGUGGAGGAACACCAGUGGCGAAGGCGACUCUCUGGUCUGUAACUGACGCUGAGGAGCGAAAGCGUGGGGAGCGAACAGGAUUAGAUACCCUGGUAGUCCACGCCGUAAACGAUGAGUGCUAAGUGUUAGGGGGUUUCCGCCCCUUAGUGCUGCAGCUAACGCAUUAAGCACUCCGCCUGGGGAGUACGGUCGCAAGACUGAAACUCAAAUGAUUUG